CAGCCUUUGCAGAAGUCAGUGCCAGUCAGGACACAGCAUGGACAUGAAGGCUCCUGUUCAGCUCCUGAGGCUCCUGCUGCUCUGGCUCCCAGGUGCCAGAUGUGCCAUGGUGACCCAGACUCCAUCUGUGGUGUCUGCACCUGUGGGAGGCACAGCCACCAUUAAUUGCCAGUCAAGUCAGAGUGUUGAUAGCAACAAUGCUCUAGCCUGGUAUCAGCAGAAACCAGGGCAACGUCCAAAGCGCCUGAUCUAUGCUGCAUCCAGUUUAGAUUCUGGGGUCCCCUCGAGGUUUAAGGGCAGUGGAUCUGGGACAUCAUUCACUCUCACCAUCAGCGGGGUGCAGGCUGACGAUGCAGGAACCUACUACUGUGCUGGGCAAUAUUAUACUAGUGGGAAUUACACUCACAGGGUGAUACAAGCCUGA